rnacentral:rRNA from 1 species
AGCAGCCGCGGUAAUUCCAGCCCCAAUAGCGUAUAUUAAAGUUGUUGCAGUUAAAAAGCUCGUAGUUGAAUUUCGGGGUCAGUAGGCUGGUCAUGCCACAGGUAUGUACUGGUCUCACUGAUUCCUCCUUCCUGAUGAACCGUAAUGCCAUUAAUUUGGUGUUGCGGGGAAACUGGACUGUUACUUUGAAAAAAUUAGAGUGUUUAAAGCAGGCUAACGCUUGAAUACAUUAGCAUGGAAUAAUGAAAUAGGACGUUCGAUCCUAUUUUGUUGGUUUCUAGGAUUGACGUAAUGAUUAAUAGGGAUAGUUGGGGGCAUUAGUAUUCAAUUGUCAGAGGUGAAAUUCUUGGAUUUAUUGAAGACUAACUACUGCGAAAGCAUUUGCCAAGGAUGUUUUCAUUAAUCAAGAACGAAAGUUAGGGGAUCGAAGACGAUCAGAUACCGUCGUAGUCUUAACCAUAAACUAUGCCGACUAGGGAUCGGAUGAUGUUAAUUUUUUAAUGACUCA